AAAGACCUAUAAGAUCUUCUGACGAUAGCAAUCUUGGGAUGCAUCUCCCAAACUCUGAGGGACCCCAGGAGGCUUACAACCAGAGCAACAGUGCUGCAGAUCUACAGGAAUCUCCAAAACAAGCACUGAGCAAAACAAAAUCAA